UACGUAGGUGGCAAGCGUUGUCCGGAUUUAUUGGGCGUAAAGCGAGCGCAGGCGGAAUGAUAAGUCUGAUGUGAAAGCCCACGGCUCAACCGUGGAACUGCAUCGGAAACUGUCAUUCUUGAGUGCAGAAGAGGAGAGUGGAAUUCCAUGUGUAGCGGUGGAAUGCGUAGAUAUAUGGAAGAACACCAGUGGCGAAGGCGGCUCUCUGGUCUGCAACUGACGCUGAGGCUCGAAAGCGUGGGUAGCGAACAGGAUUAG
rnacentral:rRNA from 1 species